rnacentral:lncRNA from 1 species
AUGGCCCGCUCCCGGGCCCAAGCUCUGGGCCGCCGCCUUUCCUCGCCUCCGGCUCCCCGGUGCUAUUGUCCAGACCCGGCGAGCCCGGCGCCCGGCAGCCCCGAUGGGGCCGCGCAGCGCUUCGCAGCCUCCCGCCCCGCCGAGCUAGGAAUUCGAGUCUCCCGUCACUGCCCUGCUCCCGCCUCCGCCAUGAUCUCCGCAAAGCAGCUUCCCGCGCCGCCGCCGCCUCCUCAGGCCACCGCCGCCGCCGCCAUGUUUUCCUUCCUUGUACCUGGCCCUGCCACCGCGGCCAGUGGCUCCCUUCCGCUCCGCCUGCUUCAAACGUCAGAAGCCGACAGGCGCCUGAUCCUGCUGCAACUGCUACCGCUGCCCGGGAAACUCCGAGGGCUCUUAGCCGGCCGAGCGCCCCGGGCUAGUGGAAAUCGCUUUCCCUCCGCCGCCGCCUCUUCCGUCUUCCUCACAGAGCCAAAGCCGCCGCCAUUUUGGCUCGCCCCUCAAAAGCGGCGCGCGGGGCCACCCAGGGAGCAGCUGCAGGGGCGGCCCGUAGCUCCACCAUUUAAAGAGACAGCAGCGAGGCCGGGAGCCUUACUGCGGCGGAGGCCUCGGACGGAGGCGGGAGGCGGGCGCGGACUUGCCAAGGUGGCGGGAGCGAGGGAGCGGAGGAGGCGGGACGCUAGUUGCGCCGGUGACAAGCCGGGACUCCCUCCCCGCACGUACCGUCGUGCGGGCGCGGGGCGGCGUGUGCGUCCGUCGCGCCCUGUGUUCGUCAUCAGCCCGGCUCCGGGAUGCGCGAGGGGCGUGGAUCCGUCUGCGGCCUUUGCGUGGGGGCCCGGCGUCUGGGCUAGGAUCUGUUCGCCGCCGCCUACCCUAGUCCCUGCCGGGUCUGCGGAUCCCGGGCGGCUGGCGCCUGGGCCUCUACCCUCUUCUAAGAGUGUUUCCCCGCGGCCGCCUUUGCGGCUGAGUCGGGCGCUUGGGACCCACCGGGCGCUUUGCGGACUCGAGGGAAUGAAAUGGAAACGCUUCAGGGGAAGGUCGCUGGUGUGGGCCGCGAGGUCGGCGUAG